AGAGUUUGAUCAUGGCUCAGAACGAACGCUGGCGGCAGGCCUAACACAUGCAAGUCGAACGGACUCUUCGGAGUUAGUGGCGCACGGGUGAGGAACACGUGGGAACAUACCCUUUGGUAGGGAAUAAUGUCUGGAAACGGACACUAAUACCCUAUAAUGACUUCGGUCCAAAGAUUUAUCGCCAAAGGAUUGGCCCGCGCAUGAUUAGAUAGUUGGUGAGGUAAUGGCUCACCAAGUCUACGAUCAUUAGCUGGUCUGAGAGGAUGAUCAGCCACACUGGAACUGAGACACGGUCCAGACUCCUACGGGAGGCAGCAGUGAGGAAUAUUGGACAAUGGGGGCAACCCUGAUCCAGCCAUGCCGCGUGAGUGAAGAAGGCCUUAGGGUUGUAAAGCUCUUUCAAUAGUGAAGAUAAUGACGGUAGCUAUAGAAGAAGCUCCGGCUAAAUUCGUGCCAGCAGCCGCGGUAAUACGAAUGGAGCAAGCGUUGUUCGGAAUCACUGGGCUUAAAGCGUGCGCAGGCGGACUUGAAAGUCGGGAGUGAAAUCCCAGGGCUCAACCCUGGAACUGCUUCCGAAACUCCAAGUCUAGAAUCCGAUAGAGGUUAGGGGAAUUCCUAGUGUAGAGGUGAAAUUCGCAGAUAUUAGGAGGAACACCAGUGGCGUAGGCGCCUAACUGGGUCGGUAUUGACGCUCAUGUACGAAAGCGUGGGGAGCAAACAGGAUUAGAUACCCUGGUAGUCCACGCCGUAAACGAUGUGUGCUAGUUUGUUGGAGUCUUAAGGCUUCAGUGACGCAGAGAAAUCAUUAAGCACACCGCCUGGGGGAGUACGGGCCGCAAGGUUAAAACUCAAAGGAAUUGACGGG
rnacentral:rRNA from 1 species